AAAUAGAAUGACAACGUCAUUUACAUUAUUUUCCUAUUUAUAGUAUAAUUAUUUGUACAUUUAUUUAUUUUAAUACAAAAUUUAGCAGCAUGCUAUCAAAAUUGCUAAGGCCAGCGGUGAAUUUGAAGAGAGCGCUGCUGGUAGUCCGCAAGGCGAGGGCAGUGCCGUCCACCGUGGUGCGAUCUUCGGGACACUUCAUCCCACCUGACCAGUAUGAUGUUCCCAUUCCGAAGAGACUGCACUUAACGUACGCUUUGAGAGUGCACUGGGAGAUCAUUCCUCUGUUCCUAGUCACAGCUUUCAGUUUUACGUUGUGCUUCCUUUCAUGUAUUUGGGCUAUUCUAUAUAAGAUGGAUGUCGUGUACAAAACUCACAGCCGCGAGACGAUCUCCCGCACCAUCAACCUGCGCCAGCCGAACUUCUACAAGCUGAUCGCAAUCACGUCGGCGUCGCGGUGGCCGCCCUGGCCCGAGAUGCAGGACGUGCAGGACAAGAUGAAGGCAGCCGAGGCGAAGGCCUUGCUAAAGGCCACAGCCUGCCCCAAAUAGUUCCAGGCCUACGCACAACAGCACGCUCCAAAUUAUAGUUGACGGCGCUUCCGCGACAUGAGAAUUAAUCUCUCGAUGAUCGACCUUAUCUGCCUGCUGGGGAAAAAGAAGAGAAACUCGUUUAUAUUUGGAAAAAAUAUAAAUCCACAACACAUAAUAUUUUCUGAUAAUGUUGAACAAGAUGAUGUGAACUCCGUGGUCGCCAGCGUCAGGUUCCGACAGAAACACGGGACACAACGUGUUAAAUCAAAAUUAACAAGUCUAGGAAUCUAGUGAUGUUUUUAAGAGUUUCUACUCAUAGUGAACCUUUGCACAAUAUAAAGUGUUUAUAUACCAAA